UACGUAGGUCCCGAGCGUUGUCCGGAUUUAUUGGGCGUAAAGCGAGCGCAGGUGGUUUAUUAAGUCUGGUGUAAAAGGCAGUGGCUCAACCAUUGUAUGCAUUGGAAACUGGUAGACUUGAGUGCAGGAGAGGAGAGUGGAAUUCCAUGUAUAGCGGUGAAAUGCGUAGAUAUAUAGAGGAACACCGGUGGCGAAAGCGGCUCUCUGGCCUGUAACUGACACUGAGGCUCGAAAGCGUGGGGAGCAAACAGG
rnacentral:rRNA from 1 species